UACAGAGGUCUCAAGCGUUGUUCGGAUUCAUUGGGCGUAAAGGGUGAGUAGGUGGCGCCGUAAGUCGGGUGUGAAAUUUCGGAGCUUAACUCCGAAACUGCAUUCGAUACUGCGGUGCUUGAGGACUGGAGAGGAGACUGGAAUUCAUGGUGUAGCAGUGAAAUGCGUAGAGAUCAUGAGGAAGACCAGUGGCGAAGGCGGGUCUCUGGACAGUUCCUGACACUGAGACACGAAGGCCAGGGGAGCAAACGGG
rnacentral:rRNA from 1 species